GACGAACGCUGGCGGCGUGCUUAACACAUGCAAGUCGAACGGAAAGGCCCUGCUUUUGUGGGGUGCUCGAGUGGCGAACGGGUGAGUAACACGUGAGUAACCUGCCCUUGACUUUGGGAUAACUUCAGGAAACGGGGGCUAAUACCGGAUAGGAGAUCCUGCUGCAUGGUGGGGGUGGGAAAGUUUCGGCGGUUGGGGAUGGACUCGCGGCUUAUCAGCUUGUUGGUUGGGUAGUGGCUUACCAAGGCUUUGACGGGUAGCCGGCCUGAGAGGGUGACCGGCCACAUUGCGACUGAGAUACGGCCCAGACUCCUACGGGAGGCAGCAGUGGGGAAUAUUGCACAAUGGGCGGAAGCCUGAUGCAGCAACGCCGCGUGCGGGAUGCCGGCCUUCGGGUUGUAAACCGCUUUCGCCUGUGACGAAGCGUGAGUGACGGUAAUGGGUAAAGAAGCACCGGCUAACUACGUG
rnacentral:rRNA from 1 species